CUCCUCAGCCUGAAUACACUAUGUUCAUUUAUGUCUUGAGAAUCAGUUUUGUUCGAGUACUCAAGUGUAUUGUUGAACUGAAAAAACAUUUUGAACAUUUUGUUUGUUUGCUUUGUCUGUUAAACCUUUUCUGUUUUUUUUUCUGUACAGCAAGAAAAUGUCCAUGGAGUUCAUAGAAGGAAGUAGAGGCAACUACAGAUCCAUCAGGGUGUUGUUUGACACGCCCAUCUCUGCAGAUCUGCUGGCACAUGGGUUCCUAUAGGUCUCAGAUCGCACUGGAGUCUGAACUUUUGAGGCUUCAGCAGCAGAACCAGCUCCCGUCUGAGGUGAAGAUAUGAGUGAUCUGCUGGUGGAGGAGAGUGCAGCUAUGGGGCUUUGAACUGGAGGACUUGAGGAUCCUGAGGCCAGGCUUCUUCUCAAGCUGGUAAGACCACAAUCCGGAAAAGUCUCGACGGUAGUUCGGAGUCAGCUGUUGAUUUAUUCUGUAAAUAUGUCAGGUCUACUCUUCAGAUCUCACUCCUUGUUGCAUGAAGAUGAGGGACGUUGAGUUUGAAGCCAGAAGGCUGCUCAGCUCUCAGCUCUCUACUCAGUCCCUCCUCAAGUUUCGGAAAAGUCUCUGCUGUCAUUUCUCCUCCACCAGCUCCUCUGAACAACAUUGCUGGACCUCCUGCCAACAACCUCCGGGAGAAAACAUAGGAACAGCCAGAACACAGUCCAGAACCAAUCUCUACUGGGGUUGCUGAUGGUGCAGAGGAGCCUGGUCUCGAGGAAGACACUGAAGCAAUCAGAGAAAGAGUCUCUGACCACUAGUGCUGAACCUCCUGCCAUCACUGCUGUCCAGCAGGGUUUAGCAAUCAGCCAGGUUGAAUCAGUGCAGCAGCCAGCACGCAGCCCAGGACCAGACUGUGCUGUGGUGCCAUGUCCUCCACCUCCUCUGAGCCCUCCUGCUUCAGUCUUGGACAGUGAAGAUAAUUGUAAAGAGCCUAGCAGAGGACCAGACUCUGCUGUGGUUUCAUCUCCAACAGCUCCUCUCUCUGCACCUUAUGAAACUCCUGUCAUCAGUGCAGAGCGGGAUGAGCUGACCAUCAGCCAGGAUGAGGCCAAAAUGAAGACCGAGGGUGGACUCCAGGGCUUCUCUGAUUGGUUCAAAAACACACUCUGCUGCUGUUUCCUGUGUAAAGACUAUUCCUCAGCUCAGUUGUU